UUUAAUACAAGACCAGUUUAUUUCUUGCUAUUCCAAACCUAUUAAAGAUGUUCCCGCCCUGCAGGUGGCCUGCUACAUGGUCCUUCAGAAACCAAACUCCUUCCAUAUUACAGCCCUGUCCUCCUCUAGAUCCUCAGUCCUUUCCAGCGUGGUCCAGUUGUUGAGGAAAGGGUUGGAGGGUUGCCAUGGGGGGUUUGCCGGUGCCAGGUCUGGAAGUGGUGCAUGUCCGUUCUACUCAUACUUCACUAGCUGGAGCUCAGACAAAUGACCACAGGAAGGCUGGUAAAUAUGGUUGAGCAUUCAUGCUUCCAGAGCUUCCUUUCUGUUGAUCAGGGAUUACGGGAAUGAUGUUUUAGAAAUUUGGUCACCUGGUUUGUAAAGUAAGGUCUUCCUGGGCAGAGUUUUGCUUUUCCCUUUGUCUUCUGAGGUAGAUUUAUAGGCAGCUCUUGUUAUUUACACUCCUGGAAUUCACUCUGCCGUGUGGCUGAUUAUGUCCGGAACCCAUUGAUAAUUCCUCAUGUCAACGUUGGGAAUGCAAGCACAGACAACACCUAAACAGAGGCCAGCCUGCCUUUUCUUGGAGGUGGGCCAAGGAAUGGUUAUGGGAGCGUGAAAG
rnacentral:lncRNA from 1 species